UAUAUGUACUACAUCCACCGG
rnacentral:piRNA from 1 species